rnacentral:lncRNA from 1 species
AUUUUUUUGCUCUUUUGAAAAUCUAAAAUAUAACUGACCCAAGUAUACAACUGUGCCUUAUAGUAUAAUGAUGUGUAGUACUAGUAUAGUGUGUGUGUGUGUGUGUGUGUGUGUGUGUGUGUGUGUGUGUGUGUGUGUGUGUGUGUGUGUGUGUGUGUGUGUGUGUGUGUGUGUGUGUGUGUGUGUGUCUCUCUAACAAUGUGUGCUGCUCAUCUUGAGUAAUCAAAUGCAACCCUUUUUAAGGAAUGUAUGGACAAACUGGACCUCAGACACUUGGUGUCCAUUUCAAUGGAUGGGCCCAGUGUGAACUGGAAACUCUUCGACAUUUUCCAGAAAGAUCAAUCUGAGCAGUACGGAGGUGUUCAGCUCAUUUGUGUGGGGAGCUGUGGCUUACACACGCUACACAACGCAUUCAAGUGUGGGUUCAGUGCAUGGCAGCUGGACAAGUUGCUGAGAGCAAUGCACACAUUGUUUCACAAUGUGCCUGCCAGGAGAGAGGAUUACAUCACCAUAACCAAGUCCAGUGUGUUCCCCCUGUCUUUCUGUGCCCAUCGUUGGGUAGAAAACCUUCCGGUUGUGGAGAGAGCCUUGGCUGUCUGGCCAUCACUUCUCCUGUACAUGGAAGCUGUGAAAACAAAGAGACUCUCCAACCCUGGGACAGCAUCCUAUGACACAGUUGCAGCAGCCAUAAAGGAUCCACUCAUCUUGGCCAAAUUGCAGUUCUACGCAGCACUUGCCAGGACCUUCACUCCCUUCUUGAAAAAAUAUCAGACAGAUAAUCCUGUGCUCCCAUUCCUCCCCAAGGAUCUCACCGAGUUGAUGAUGAGUCUACUCAGACGUUUCAUAAAGAGAGAAGUCCUCCACGAUAUCACUGCCCUGCAGCUGACCAAACUGGAUGUUACAGACAAGACCAUCUGGCUCAGCCCACAAGACAUCAGCAUUGGUCUAGGUGCAGAGUCGGUCCUUAAGAGCAUCAAAGGUGCAGAGCUCAGGGUGCUAGAGUUCAAGAGAGAGUGCAUGCAGGGACUGUGUAACAUCAUCAGGAAAGUGCAGGACAAGAGCCCCCUCAAGUAUCUGACUGUUAGGCAGUUGGUGUGCCUGGAUCCGUCAGUAAUGUACAGAGAACCCGAAAGAUGCAGGAAUCACAUGAAAGGGCUGGUUCAGAGGUUUCUUCAGGAUAAACAGCU